GGCUGAAAGCAAAUGCUCUGAGACUCAGUCGCAUAUUUAAUUAGAAGCAAGCUGCUUCCACUAUCAGUGUGUGAAUCUACCUCUCCAAUCUCUCGUGCACAUUUGUGUGAAUGAGGAGGAGAGGAGGUCAUGCCCUGAAUGUAGGAUAUUGGGCUCUUGGUCUUGGCGCGGCUUUGUCUUCAGCUGGAUUUUUUUUUUUUUUUUUUUUUUAUAAUCCAAGCAAGAAGGUGUUGCAGAGCUGGAGACACAUUUCCCAGAAGGCGUGGAUGGCACUCCUCCCAAGAUGAUGGAGGUAGCCUAGAGGGAUGUCAUGAUGAUACCCUUGAUGGGCCUAAUUUUGUGCUUAUUGAAAGAAAAAAAAAACAUUUCACAAAAAUUAGAUAUUGUUGACAUCACAAUCCAUUUUUUUUUUAAACUUUCUUACUUCAUCAUGGUGAUGUGAUAGUUUUGUAUCACACUGUGUUAUAGGUGAAGCUGUAAACAAAUAAGAUAGUUAUAUGACACAUAUUUGUUUGCACACUGUGACUAUCAUCCAAAUUACAUUUAUUGUAACAUAACAUAUUUACAAAAUGUAUUGAAUGCAGAUUAAUGAAAUGAAUGUGUAACAUUACUCUGCUUGUGUAUCCUGUUCCUGCCUUCCCUGUGCUCUGUUCUUUGUCCUUGCCUUCACUGUGUUCUGUUCCUGCCUUCCCAGUGUGUUCCUUGCCUCCUACAUACU